ensembl:snoRNA SNORA74 Small nucleolar RNA SNORA74
CCUGGCUGUAGGCAGCUACUUAGGUUGUCUUGUACCUAGGCAAGUGUUACACUGCUGGGAGAAAAACAGCCCAAUAGUUGGUGGGCAUUCUGGGCCUGGUUAAUGCCAAAUUUGUGUUAACUAU